ACGGGGAGGGGGGCGCGGCGAGGGGGCGGGGGUGCCUCCAAGACUGAUUGGGCAAUUUGCAGCGCCCACUUCAGGUUGAGGAAUCUGAUUAGGUUGUUGGACCUCAGUCAAACGGAGAAUGGUCGCCCCCUAGGAGCAGUAAUCGGGAGUGGACACCGAAGGACCCAGAUGAGGGGCGGGGGAGGAGGGGGUGAGGCUCAAGAUGAGGUAGAUUGCCUGGCAGUUUCUCUUCUCCCAGGAGCUCACUCCUUCCGGCAUGACGGACACCUGCGAUCCCAAAACAGUGGGCUGGAAGAGCCCCAACAAAGGAACUACCAACACGUGCCGUGUGUCAGGCCCUGAAGGUGGGCAUUUUCGUGAACAUUGUGAUAACACUCUCCGUCGAGAUAGGUAUCCUUAUCCCCACUUUUCAUAUGAGAAAAAUCGAGGUUUGGUGACUUCCCAAGGAGGGGUGAGGAUUUGUAUGACUCCAGAGCCUUUUCCCAGGAGCUCUCCCGACUUGGAAGCUACCGAUUCUCUGAGGUUUGGGGGAACAAGCAUCAGGUGUGAGGAGUCGAAGCUUUCCAAGGGACAACAGCGUGACAGCACUGUCGGCAAGAACCACGCCUCCCCUGUCGCGACCAUACUGAUUACUGUUGCUUUCCUUUAAGAGCCUUCUCCUGAAAGAGGAAGUCCUCGCCACAUGGGGAGGUGGAUAUUAUAGAUUCCUGGAUCUCUCGGACGUCUUUUCUCCCUCACCCGCAUUGACCCCCACUGGCGAAAGAAAUUCUUCCCUUCCACUAGCGAGUGAAGGCAUGAGACUACAUGUCCCGGCAGGUCGUCAGAAGCGGGUGGCGAGGAGAGAAGGAAAGAGACUCUCCGUUUCCGUCAGCUCUCAGUUUGGACUGUCGGCGGCGAUGCACAUUCGCCAGCCCACGUCCUUUCUCUGUUGAGCUAAGGAAGGGACUACGUCCUCCAGCAGGCACUGGCGUAGAGGCUGUGCUAGGCUGCCAUCUUUAUUGUAGUCCUUUCUCCUUUUUCCACAGAGAGUAUCCUUAGCGAUUGAACACCAAGUCCCAGGUCACCGUCUCCACAUUCCUCCAGCGGCCAUCUUUGCGGGUAGACCCCGCCCCUUUCCCUUCCAUUGUCUGGUCGAAGAUAAUAGAAGGGAGCCGGGAAGACUGCAACUCCCGUCAAGCUUUGUGCCAAGAGGAGGGGAAUUUCGAUAAUACAGCCGGGCGAGGUGCCAAGGUGGUAGAGUGAGGCCACCGUGAGAAGCUAGGUUACCUGCCAUUUUUAUGGUAGUCUGCUUAUCCUCUCGGCCCUGCCAUUCUUUGGAAUUUUAGAAGGCUAGGAAACUACUAUUCCCAUCGCACCUCGUACGAUGGACUACUAGUCAGGUGUCCGCCCAUCUUCCGCCAUCUUGUUUGUAGUCAUCGUCUCCGCUCUGCAACCCGGAGCCUUGCGGCAACCGGACUGUAACUCCCGGCAUCCACCACUCCCGGUUUGGCACGUCCUCCGCCAGCUUGUUUGUAGUUCACACUGACCCCAGCAUCCCUUUGAUCCCACGGUAGCACCGCCAUACUCGGGACUACUACUUCCGUGGUGCCCUGCACAUGUUAGUCCUGAAAAGUGGCAGGUGGUGGGGGAACGAGGUGGCAGGGGGCUGGGUUCCUCUUGGAGAAGGAGCGAGUAAAGAGGAGGAAGAGGUGGAGGGAAGGAGGGGAGAGAGGAGGUGAGGAGCAAGAGAGGAGAAAGAAGGAUGGGGCUCACGAGGCAUGAGAGACGCGGCCAGGGCCCCGAACCGGAGCUGCGCGGGGCCGGGAGACCAGCGGGGCUGAGGCAUGCCGAUUGCCCCCUCACCCCUUUCCUGUCCCCUUACAUCCUUUCCUUCCACCCUCCCAGCUUGAGGAAAGGGAUUUAUUCAAAUUUUAAUUAAAUCUCUAUCUCCCGAGGAUCGCGCGCUGCGUAGAGGAGCAGAGGGCGGGGGCGCGCGCAGGCCGGGGGGCGGGGCCCAGCAGCUUCCUUCACCCGCCUCUGCUCCACCCGUAGCAGUAGCGCCGGGGGCCGCAGGCCAGGGGCUGGCCCAGGGGAAGGGGGCAGGUUACAGGAACCCCACCCCACCUCCCCACGAACCUGCGGUUGGCGGGGCUUGAACCCCGGAAACGGUGGGGGUCCCAGGCCUGGCCCUGGACCCCUGGGCAGUGGGCAUCGGGAAGGGGCCAGUUAAAGGGCCGGGGGUACUGGGGAGAAGCGGGACGGGGUGGGGGGAGGGGAGCUGGGACUCGGACCCCCUGACUGAGUGGGACCCGGUCAGAAGCUGUGCACCCUGCGCCCGAGGAGCCCUUGUUGGCCUGGGGGGACUGAGGGACUGAGCCCCGCCCCCGCCCCAGAGCAGGAACUCCCCAUGGAACGGCCGCGCCGCAGCCCGUGGGAGGGCCUCGCCCCUGGCUCCCCGGCCUCCGCCGGUGGGAGGAGCCGAGUGCCCUCGCGGGGCCGUGGACCCCGGCGUUCUGAGCGUUCCGCGCCCCGCGCCGCCCGGCCCCCCGCCGCCGAUGGCCGCCGACCCGCCGUCAGCUGCCGAGAAGGGAGAGAUGGCUCCUGGGACACGUGUGAGAGUGAUGGGCCAUCGUGCAGUGAGGCCAUGGGGGCCCGAGGCAGGGACCAUCAGAAAGAGCAGCCCAGUCCAGUCCAUUCAUUGAAUCUGUGAGCCUUGCAGCACUGUUACAGAGACUGGAUGGAGCUGUGCCACAUGGCUUGUGGAAUCUCAGUUCUCUGACCAGGGAUUGAACCCAGGUCCUCGGCGGUUAAAGGUCGGAGUCCUCAUUACUGGACCGCCAGGGAAGUCCCAUCACUAACACUGAACACUGACUGAUGGCCUGUUAUAAAAUCUUUCCAUAUAAUAACAUUUCCUUUACAAAACGCAGUGGAGUGGCUAGCACUGUUUCCCCAUUUCACAGAUGAGGACAAUUGAGGCACACCAAGGUUACAUGAUUAGUUCUGGGUCACACAGCUAGGAUUUGAAUUGGGCUCCUAAAUUAGAGCUCUUUACCAUUAUAACCAUCUGUAGCCUCCAGGCAUGAUGCUUUCCAAUCUGUGAGACUUUCCACAGUCCUUGUCCCCUGGGUUCUCUUCAGGAAACUCAGGAGACUACAUUUCACAGAUGAGGUGCAGAGGAAGGACAUGAACCCAUUUUUUAGCCUCGAUUAUGUCACUGGUCACUUGAUACAUAGAUAUUAUCUCAUUUAAUCCUUGUAAUGACCCUGGGAAGUAGAUCUUAUGGUUAUUAUUCCCACUUUUACAGAUGAGAUUCAAUGACUUGUCAAGAUCACACAGAAUAAAUUGUAGAGGCCUUGGACUCAGGACAGGCUCUGAUGUCUGGGCUGGUCCCUGUCAUCCCAUAGUUCCUUUCAUGUCCCAUUCGGAGGACACAUGGUUGGAUACGACAGUGAGAAUGGGAGGCACAGAAUCAGCACUGCUCUGUGUCCAGGGUCUAACCCAGUCCCAGUCAGGUCCUUGGCACCCCCUGGAAUCCAGCUAAGUUUCACCUCUGCUUCCGGAGCAGCUCUGGGCUUGAUGAGGAGGACCAGAGGAAGUGGAAGAGCACAGAUGGGAAACUAGGGUAUCGACUUCAAAAUGAGAAGAAAAUCGAAGUUCCCUGGUGGUCUAGUGGUUGGGAUGCAGGGCUUUCAUUACUGUGGCCCAGGUUCAAUCCCUGGUCGGGGAACUGAGAUCCCAUAAGUUAUGAGGCUCAGACAAAAAGAAAAAAAAUUAUACCCCCACUUUGUAUUAUCCCCAGUGACCUUCUUGGAAAUAUGUGCUCACAGUCUCCCAACUUUAGGUCCUGUGAGUCUACAAAGUCUAACUCCUAGAUUGGGGAGGGACCUUUCCACCAGAGGACACAGCCAGAAUCCCUUAAAUUUAGAGACACAUCUGCCGCCUGGUCACUUGAAUCUCCUCCUACCAAUAGCACAGCAAGCAGCAAAAGGACAUGCCCUACUGUUGCAAGAAGGCGGACUCCUUCCAGGACCCAAGAGUGGGCUGUGGUCUAACAUUCAAGAAUGAGUUGUCCAAGGAGACACACGAGCUGACAAAGCGACAGACUGUAUUGGGAAGGGCCCCCAGGCAGAGAGCAGAAGUUAAAGAGAACCCAGAGGAAUGGAUCUGCCACGUGGCUCCAAGUCUUGGGGUUUAUAGUGAUGGAAUUAGUUUCAAGAUUUUCUUUGGCCAGUCAUUCUGAUUCAGCAUCCUUCCUGGUGGUGCACGCAAGGCUCAGCCAAGAUGGAAGCCAGUAAGAAGGAUUCUGGGAGGUGGUAGAAUGCAUGGCAUCUCCUUCUGACCUUUCCUGAACUCUUCAAGUUGGUGGUGGCUUCUGAGUUCCAUCUUCCUUUCUAGGACUUCCUAUUGAAGAAGAACUCACGCAAAUGGUCGGAAGAUCCCCUGGAGGACGACAUGGCAACCCAUUCCAGUGUUCUUGCCUGGAGAAUCACAUGGACAGAGGAGCCUGGCGAGCUACACUCCAUAGAGUAGCAAAGACUCGGACAUGACUGAAGGACUUAGCACGCACUCACAGGCAUUCUAGUUCUUUUCCUUCCAGGCAGAAAGUGGAAAGAGUUCCUGUCUCCGGCCACUGUGAAAUUAGGGAAGGCUAUCGAUUAGUGAAUACAACGUGAGCACAACUGUCCUGUGUCAAUUCUGGGCAGUACCUAUAGAAGCCAGGCCAUGUUUCCAAGUCCUCCUCCCUCAAUUCAUCGGUGAUUGGAUGGUGAUUAUGGAAGCUCAUAUCCAGAUGGAGCCUCUUCCCUUGGGCUUAAUCCCUGGGGAACUAGAGUGAGCAGCCCUCUCCCCACUGACCAACACGAGACACACAGCAUGAGCCUGAAACAGACCUUAGCUGCUGUAGCCACCCAAACCUGGGUGUUCUUUGUUACUGCAGCAUAACUUCACCUACUCUGAUGGAUACAGAAGCUGUGACCUUCUACACAAAUCCAGGAGAGACCUGGAUCUUCUAGAAGAGCACUCACUGCUGAAAAGGAACUUCAUGAUGAAUGGGCUGCUCCAGCUCCUGAAUUCAGUGAGCUCAAUCCAAGGCUGUGGAUGGUUCUGAGAGCCGGCUGGAGCCCUGCAUCCCUUUUCAGCAGCUCCCCACAGGAGACUGAAUGGUGCACCUGUUUCUCAAUGUGGUCUGCAGCCCCAGUCCCUCAUAUAGGAAACCACCACCCCGAGUGCCAUAAGCCAUCUUUCCGAUGGUUCUUAAACAAAAUGUGUAAAUAAGGUGGGCAGAAGACAAACAUUUUUUGUGCAAAUGAACAGGGACUUAUGGGUGGUGUAAACCCUGAGUUCACUUAUGGCUGAGAAGGUCUGACUGAUGUUUUUAUAUUUUAAUGUCAACGUGGCUGGAUUAUAGUAUUUGCAACUCAUAUUUUAAGUAGGCCUGCUCAGUCCUUUCAGCCCUGUCCAAUUCCCUUAGACCCUAUGGACUGUAGGCUGCCAGGCUCCUCAGUCCAUGGGUUGUCUAGGCAGGAAUACUGGAGUGGGUUGUCAUGCCCUCCUCCAGCAGAUCUUCCCCAACCAGGGGUUGAACCUGUGUGUCCUGCAUUACAGGCCCAUUGUUUAUCGCUGAGCUACUGGGGAAGCCUGUUUUAAGUAUGAAUGUUCAAGGUAAAAAUGUCAAAGUGCAGAGUAGGUUAUAGUGAAAACCAAAAGUUCUCCUCUAUCUCUGUAUGCAGUCACACUCAGCCAUCUCUCUAUCCAGCCAGCUAGGGGUGCAGGCACACCAUCUGGCCCUGAGGUGGUCUAUAGAGUGUGAGAAAUGGCCUUGACCUUCAGUAGGCUUGUGUUCGGGUCUCAGUUAAUGAAGUGGGGCCAGUAGUGCUUCUGCUGGGACUGAAGCAAGCUGGAUGGAGACUGUGUGGAUCUAGCGAGCACUUGUCUCAUCCCAAAGGGUAGCCACUCUUGUGAACCAGCUGUUCCUUGUUGAAGGAAACAAAGAAUGCAGACUCACUGUUUCUGGAUUCCAAGUGAAAGAAAUGUGUGGUUCCUCUGCCAAACUUCACACACAGAGGCUGGACAUGAUCAACUGGCAGAUGCUAUAGUUCUGAGGAUGUGCUCUGCGGCCUUGGGAAAACUAGCUUGCUUAGAAAAAUUAUUUUAUGAUACUAAUUAUUUUUCUUUAUACUUUUAUAUGCCUUUCUAAUCUUUAUUCAUUUAUUUAUGUAUUUUUUAUUUUGGGCUGUGCUGGGUCUUUAUUGCUGCAUGCAGGCUUUCUCCAGUGGCUCGGGCCACUCUUUGUCGGGGUGUGCAGGCUUCUCCUUGGGGUAGCUUCUUUUGGUCUGUGGCACAGGCUCCAGGUGCCUGGGCUCGGUAGUUGUGGCGUGCGGGAUUUCUUUAUCUGCAUUAUGGGGGAUCUUCCCAGACCAAGGUCAAACCCGGGUCUCUCACAUUAGCUGGCGAAUUCUUUACCACUAGACACACCCCCAGAGAAGCUCUGAAUCCUAGCUUUAUCAGUCAGUCAUUCCCAGUUUCCUUAUCUAUAAAAUGAGAUCAUCAAGAGGAUUCUUAUGAGGAUCAAAUUAGAUGCUGAAAGCUUCUAGGAGAUGGACUCUUCAUACAGCUUAUAUCCAGUUGGAAGAGUCAAAUGAAUCUCAUUUGGGAGUUACACACAUGAAGGCUUCUUUGGGACACAAACCUGAAAGAUGAACUGUUAACUGGGUGCAGCGGUGAGAAGGGUGGAAGGGAAGAAGCUAAUCGGUAGAGGGACUGGCUCCAGAAAAAUCCCUGGGCAAUCAUGCAAGCCCAAACUAAAGCAGUGAGGCCGAAGAGCAAACAAUCUCCCGGAAGUCAAGGAUUUCCUAAAUACACUGUGAGCUAGAAGCAGCCUCUCAGUUCUGCCUGAGGCCAGUCCCUGCAAGUUUAGGACUUCCCAUCACACCAGCCAGCUUGCGUUCAAUUCUCUGCCAGAAAAACCACACUCACCAAAUCUUCCGCAGGGCCCUCGAACCACAGGGCUCAAAAGUGAAUCGUUUUGCAGGCAGAGGAGGAAGACUAAGAAGGCAGGUCAGAAGGUACAGUGGGAGGAAGCAGGCCGGUUUGCCUGGCAGCUGAGGUGUCUAGCGGGGAACGGGAGCGGGGCGCGGCGAGAGGGCGGGGGUGCCUCCAAGACUGGUUGGGCAAUUUGCAGCGUCCACAACUUCAGGUUGAGGAAUCUGAUCAGGUUGUCGGACCUCAGUAAAACGGAGAAUGGGCGCCCCCUAGGAGCAGUAAUCGGGAGUGGACACCGAAGGAACCAGAUGAGGGGCGGGAAGCAGGGUGUGCAGCUCAAGAUUCGGUAGACUGCCUGGCACAGUUUUCUUCUCCCAGGAGCUCACUCCUUCUGGCACGACGGACACCUGGGAUCCCAAAACAGCUGGGCUGGAAGAGCCCUUGAGAUAGGAACUACCAACACGUGCCUUGUGUCAGGCCCUGAAGGUGGACAUUUUCGUUAACAUUGUCAUGACAAUCUGUUUUGAGGGAGUAUCCUUAGCGAAUGAACAAGUCCCAGGUCACCGUCUACACAUUCUUCCAGCAGCCAUCUUUGCGGUUAUACCCCGCCCCUCUCCCCUUCCAUUGUCUGGUCGAAGAUAAUAGAAGGGAGCCGGGAAGACUGCAACUCCCGUCAAACUUUGCGCCAAGAGGAGGGGAAUUUCGAUAAUACAGCAGGGCGAGGUGCCAAGGUGGUAGAGUGAGGCCACCAUGAGAAGCUAGGUUACCUGCCAUUUUUAUGGUAGUCUCCUUAGCCUCUUGGCCCUGUCAUUCUUAAGGAACUGUAGAAGGCUAGGAAACUACUAUUCCCGUCGCAACUCGCCAGAUGGACUACUAGUCAGGUGUCCGCCCAUCUUCCGCCAUCUUGUUUGUAGUCAUCGUUCGCACGCCUCUACGCCCUGCAAACCCGAGCCUUGGGGCCACAGGACUUUAACUCCCGGCAUUCACCACUCCCGGUUUGGCACGUCCUCCGCCAUCUUGUUUGUAGUUCUCAUUGACUCCAGCGUCCCUUUGGUCCCACGGGAGCACCAGCGCCCGCAGGACUACUACUUCCGUCGUGCCCUACGCAUGUUAGUCCUGAAAA